GGUGAGUAAAUGAUGAGAGAAUUUUCAUUUUUGUGUGAACUAUUACUUUAAUGUCUAUACUGCUUACAGGUGUCAACCAGCUCCUAAAUGGGCUUUGCUCUAACACCACAGUGAAAGUGUUGGACCUGAAGGGAAAUAACAAGAGAGGGACAGGAACUGAGGCUUUGGGGCAGAUAAUAGUGAGGAACAAAGUGCUGCGCAGGCUUGUGCUGGAAUGGAAUGCUCUGGGAAUGUGGGAGGAAAGAUUUGCCAUAUUUUGUGAAGGUCUGGCCUCCAACAUCUGUCUCGCCCAGCUUGACCUCCGCAAUAACCAAAUUAACCACCAGGGGGCAGCAGAGCUCUGUGUUGCUCUAAAGAGGAACACAAGUCUUCAAGAGCUGGAUGAGUUUUGCAACAACUGUUCAGGGCUAGGAAAGAAAUUCCACCCUCACUGUUGUAUGUGGACAAGAGUUGCGAUGUUGUGCAAAGAACUGCUGUCCCAGUUAUUUGAAGCUGAUGUCAUGUAAAUGUUUGCAAAACACCAGUUGGUGUCCUUAGAACCUCAGUGUUUACACUGUGCUGUUGUAAUUGCUAAAUGUUUUAAAUGUAUAUAGCAGUCUUUUGUCAUUAUUCACUUUUUCAGUCUUACACGUUGGUCUAUCACUGUUACUUGUCCAUAUCUUUGAGCUAAAGGGAUAGUUCACCCAAAAAUUCUCUCGUCAUUUACUCACCCUCAUGCCAUCCCAGGUGUGUUUGAUUUUCUUUCAUCAGCUGAACACAAACAAAGAUUUUUAGAAGAACAUCUCAGCUCUGUAGGUCCUUACAAUGCAAGUGAAUGGUGACCAGAACUUUGAAGCUCCAAAAAGCACAUAAAGGCAGCAUAAAUGUAAUCCAUACGACUCCAGUGGUUAAAUCCAUAUCUUCAGAAGUGAUAUGAUAGGUGUGGGUGAGAAACAGAUCACAGAACAGAAACAGACCAUCACUGAGCUCCUGGCCAGAGAAGGGCAGCAAAAAAUUUAGUUGGACACGCUCCACCGCAGGAUAGAGGAGUCACAGCAGGAACUUGCAGGGAAAGAGCAGGAGAAAGUAGCAGACGUGACUUCUCUCUGGAAAGAGAAAUGAAUGUUCUCAGUGCCACCCACAGAGAGGCCCUUCUGGACAAAGAGAGCGAGCAUGCGCGAGGAUGAGGCCCAGAGAGCCAGCUUCCUCCAGAAUGCCAUACUCACUUACGUCCAGGGCUCCCCUCUUGCAAACUUCAGCCCAAAUAAGUGAACAAGUUUGUCAUAGCCUUUCCAUCAGUUCCAUCAGGGCACUUAUAUGCUAUGCACAGUAAAUCUACUUCAAGUUUUUAUUCAAAUGUUUUUGUGUGAAAUAGAGAUGCUUAAGUGGACAGUUUUUAUGGACUGGAAAACAAAGAACCCCCCAAAAUGCUUCAACAAAUAGAUAUUGAUAUGCAUUCCUGUGUCUUUAAAUUUAUAUACGUAUUUUGGUUUGAAAAUAAGUGAGUUUGCAUUAUCGAAUAAUCAGGUAUCAAAACUAUUUUUUAUUUUUUUUAUUUUUUUUUACUUCUUAAUUGGGAUAUUUUACUGUUUCUAUUAAUAUUGGAGCUCUUUCACAUAUCUGUCUUGUGAAAAAUCAUGAUUGUGCCAUACCGUCCAUCAAAACUCUUAUGUUGUGGCACUUGCAGAUUAUAUAUUGUAAAAUGUUUACAUUUUUUUCUACUUUUGGAAUUUUUCCACAUUUGUGAUAUGUUUGCUGUUUGCCUUAAAUAAAAUGUGUGGUUUUGAAGAAGCUCUGUGCAGUCUGUAUAUAAUUGCUGUG